UACGGAGGGUGCGAGCGUUGUUCGGAAUUAUUGGGCGUAAAGCGCGUGUAGGCGGUUUUUUAAGUCUGAUGUGAAAGCCCCGGGCUUAACCUGGGAAGUGCAUUGGAAACUGGGAGACUUGAAUACGGGUGAGGGGAGUGGAAUUCCUAGUGUAGGAGCGAAAUCCGUAGAGAUUAGGAGGAACACCGGUGGCGAAGGCGGCUACCUGGACUGAUAUUGACGCUGAGACGCGAAAGCGUGGGGAGCAAACAGG
rnacentral:rRNA from 1 species